GCUCCAGACUCCUACGGGAGGCAGCAGUGGGGGAUAUUGGGCAAUGGGGGGAACCCUGAUCCAGCGACGCCGCGUGAGUGAAGAAGUAUUUCGGUAUGUAAAGCUCUAUCAGCAGGGAAGAAAAUGACGGUACCUGACUAAGAAGCCCCGGCUAACUACGUGCCAGCAGCCGCGGUAAUACGUAGGGGGCAAGCGUUAUCCGGAUUUACUGGGUGUAAAGGGAGCGUAGACGGUUAUGUAAGUCUGGAGUGAAAGCCCGGGGCCCAACCCUGGGACUGCUUUGGAAACUGUGUAACUGGAGUACAGGAGGGGCAGGCGGAAUUCCUGGUGUAGCGGUGAAAUGCGUAGAUAUCAGGAGGAACACCGGCGGCGAAGGCGGCCUGCUGGGCUUUUACUGACGCUGAGGCUCGAAAGCGUGGGGAGCAAACAGGAUUAGAUACCCUAGUA
rnacentral:rRNA from 1 species